UCUCGCCCGAACCCGCGAGGGCCGGGUGGGGCUGGCGGCCGGUGAUGCGGGCAGAAAUGGCUGUUCUGCUUCCUACACACAUUCCUUCCAGAGGCGCACACGUGUGUGUGUGUGCGCGUGUGUGAGUGUCCCGAGCCGGGCGAUCUAGACCCCGGCUGGCGUCGCGGUGUCCUCUGGGCUCGAAGGACGCCUGGAGGGGCAGACCUGCCCCCAUUGUUUCCUGGGGCCGGAGCCUGAGGAUGCAGACGGUCACGCCUGUCCCAGAGCCGGAGCCCGUGGCCUCCGCGGCCUCCCCUCGCCGGCGGAAACAAAAGCCGGAAUCGGAAAGACCCCCCUUAAACGGGCAUUGAGGUCUUCCUGCUCUUGUCGGCGUCCCGCUCGCCGCCGGCGCCGGUUCCCGUGGCCCUUCCGAGUGGACAGGAACGCCGACCCCAGGAAAGGGCGCGAGGCCAGAAAGAACACGCUCUUCUAUUAAAAUUCUGCGCAGCGUCCUGCUGUGUCUGUGCACAUCUGUGCAGUGAGGGUGGGCCUUUAUUCACGAAGGCCGGGGCUUUAGGGCGUUUUUAAGACACGGGGGGCGGGGGGUGGGGGUUGCAGUAACCGAGUCUUCGCGCCCCAGGAAAUCAGAAAAAUCAGAAGGUCCUGUUUGUAGCUUCCUCGAAUCUGGAAAGGAUCGGGCUUGGUAAUUUUUUAAUUGCAAGAUCCCAAGCAACCAGGAUAGGGGAAGAGAUUCCACCCCCGCCCCCACCACCACCCCCAACCUCGCCCUGCAGCCCCGACGCGCGCCUGUGGGAUCAGGCCGACUUGGGUGGGAUUUUGCGGGGGGAGAAGAAGGGAGAAGGUGACGUGCGUGGCGCCAUGAUCGGAAGUCUGGGUUUAAUUCUGAGCUGCGAGGUGGAAAAUUUGCGUGGGAGGGCGAUUUCAGAGGUGAAGCCUCGCCUUCCCUUCUCCUGAGCAGAAGGGUUGUUCUGAAAGCUGGUUUUGCUGGUCUUUCAUUCUGGCUACAGGCAAUUCCAAAGGCCUAAAAUAAGAAACUGGUAUUGUCUUACCAUUUGACUUUCAAGAAAUCAGAUCUCGCACUCCAGAGAAAAAGGAUUUUAAGUAUGUGAAGAUGCUGAGGCUGUGGCAUAAACAUUGCAAUGCACAGAAGUUAGAAAACAAGAUUGUCUUAUGGCCUUGCAUUCUAGUUUUUCUGGCUUUUGAUAAAUAUUUAUCUGGCCUCUCAUAAUGACCUCCAAAUAACUGCUGUAGACUAUCUGCUUGUGGAAAUUACACAAAUAAUUUCAAGAGCAACUGAAACUACUGUAAUACCAUCCUCGCAACCUUCACCCUG